rnacentral:rRNA from 1 species
GAUGAACGCUGGCGGCGUGCCUAAUACAUGCAAGUCGAGCGAACGGACGAGAAGCUUGCUUCUCUGAUGUUAGCGGCGGACGGGUGAGUAACACGUGGAUAACCUACCUAUAAGACUGGGAUAACUUCGGGAAACCGGAGCUAAUACCGGAUGAUAUUUUGAACCGCAUGGUUCAAAAGUGAAAGACGGUCUUGCUGUCACUUAUAGAUGGAUCCGCGCUGCAUUAGCUAGUUGGUAAGGUAACGGCUUACCAAGGCAGCGAUGCAUAGCCGACCUGAGAGGGUGAUCGGCCACACUGGAACUGAGACACGGUCCAGACUCCUACGGGAGGCAGCAGUAGGGAAUCUUCCGCAAUGGGCGAAAGCCUGACGGAGCAACGCCGCGUGAGUGAUGAAGGUCUUCGGAUCGUAAAACUCUGUUAUUAGGGAAGAGCAUAUGUGUAAGUAACUGUGCACAUCUUGACGGUACCUAAUCAGAAAGCCACGGCUAACUACGUG